ACAGGCAAUGUGCAAGCAAACCAACUGCUUGGGGAGCAAGGGAAGGGUUGCUUCCUGCCCCCUUCUGCCGAGAAGCAACUGCUUCAAUAAUAGCAUUUGAAAGCAAGAGGUUUUUCCUUCUCUCCAGGUUUGUUGCUGGCAUUUUCUGUGCUUGGCUGGGUUUCCAUCGUACCCAGCUGCUUCUGCCUGGCGAUAACAACACCUCCCUUCCAUAUGACAAGGGGAGAUCAGGAAAGUGGAGGGAAACAUUAAUUUUUUUGCUUUCUCCCAUCUGGUACAAUUCAGUACUUGAAAGAAAGAUAAAGCAGAGGUUAUAUAUUCUUGAUCUUGGACAAAUUAUAUAAAUCUAUAUAUAGAUUUAUAGAUAGCAUGCGAUUUUAUUGCUGUGCUACUGUUACAUCGGUUAUAUAGUUAGAGUCCAUAAUUAUUCUCCUCACUUAUUUCAUGCAUGACUUAUGUGUGAUGCUUCCUGUGUUUGUACAGAUUUCAGAUGUUACACAAUAGGCACAGGUAAAAUUAAACAGCUGAUAGUCAGCCAGGCAUCAUUCUGGCAUACUUUUAGGUAAUUAACAUGUAUAUGUUGAUAGAUUUAAAAACUCCCCAGAAGCCUUUGUAUUAAAUUUCAUUUGGGCCUGAAAAUGGAGAAUCUCCAAAAUGUCAGUUAGCUGUUUAUAUUGCCAGGUUAGGCAGAAGAAGGUACGUGUAGCUGUUGAGGCUUUUGACUGAGCUCUGGUUUGUCUAAUGCCUGUCUGCUCUGCGCAGGAACCUCAUGGGUAACCACAGGAGAGGGGAUGUGUGAGAGUGCUGUUGUGGUGCACAGCGAGACACCACGCAUAUCACAGUGUUGAUUACAACAAUCAGCAAUCCUAUGCCUGCCAGGGAGAUGAUAUUCAAGUUGGAACUGGAUUUCUUGUUUGUGGUGAAAAAAACCAAGGACUUCAAAUAUCUGACUUGAGACAAAAAUAAACUUGGACAUUGGCAAAAGGUGAAGGGCACCAUGGGGUGCUGUGGCUGUUAGAAAAUAAAGAAGCUUCUCAUAUCCUUCUGAAAUGUGGAAAAGGUUGUUUAAACAAUUAUUAAAUACAAUUUUAAAAGUAGCUGUUUGCUCCUGGAUGCAAGAUACGGAGGAGCAGCCAUAUGGGUCUGGUGAGACGCAGAGGCAAAGAGGCUGGAGGAGAGGAUGGCCUCCCUCUCCCUCUGCCCCUCAGCUCUGCAGCAUAUUCUUCUGCUGUCCUUAGCUCUCUCCUGAUCAGAUCUGUCAAAUAAAUACUUACUGCAA